rnacentral:rRNA from 1 species
AAGACAUUGUGUCUUCGAGUCGUUGAUUUCACACUGCCGAGAAAAGCCUCUAGAUAGAAAAUAGGUGCCCGUACCGCAAACCGACACAGGUAGUCAAGAUGAGAAUUCUAAGGUGAGCGAGCGAACUCUCGUUAAGGAACUCGGCAAAAUGACCCCGUAACUUCGGGAGAAGGGGUGCUCUUUAGGGUUAACGCCCAGAAGAGCCGCAGUGAAUAGGCCCAAGCGACUGUUUAUCAAAAACACAGGUCUCUGCUAAACCGUAAGGUGAUGUAUAGGGGCUGACGCCUGCCCGGUGCUGGAAGGUUAAGAGGAGUGGUUAGCUUCU